GCUGGGUGUGGUGGUGCACACCUGUAGUCCCAGCUACUUGGGAGGCUGAGGUGGGAGGAUCACUUGAGCUCAGGAGGUUGAGGCUGCAGUGAGCUGUGACGGAGCCACUGCACUCCAGCCUGGGUGACAGAGCAAGACCCUGUCUCAA
ensembl:misc_RNA Metazoa_SRP Metazoan signal recognition particle RNA